GCUGGGUGUGAUGGCUCACACCUGUAAUCCCAGCAUUUUGGGAGGCCGAGGCAGGUGGAUCACUUGAGCUCAGAAGUUCAAGACCAGCCUGGGCAACAUAGUGAGACCCUGUCUCUG
ensembl:misc_RNA Metazoa_SRP Metazoan signal recognition particle RNA